GCGGUCGUCGUCCAGUCUGGAUCCUUCGGGAGGAUAGUCUAGGACGUUAGCCCUCCAAGCUAGCAACCAGGGUUCAAAUCCCUGCGACCGCA
rnacentral:tRNA from 1 species